AAAGCGUUCAUUAAAGUCGAGUUGGCUUAGGGAUACGUUCGUUGGGUAGGGGAGCGUUCUGUAAGCCGUUGAAGGUGGCCUGUGAGGGUUGCUGGAGGUAUCAGAAGUGCGAAUGCUGACAUAAGUAACGAUAAAGCGGGUGAAAAGCCCGCUCGCCGGAAGACCAAGGGUUCCUGUCCAACGUUAAUCGGGGCAGGGUGAGUCGACCCCUAAGGCGAGGCCGAAAGGCGUAGUCGAUGGGAAACGGGUUAAUAUUCCCGUACUUGGUGUUACUGCGAAGGGGGGACGGAGAAGGCUAUGUUGGCCGGGCGACGGUUGUCCCGGUUUAAGCGUGUAGGUGUGUGUUCCAGGUAAAUCCGGUUCACUUUAACACUGAGGCGUGACGACGAGGCACUACGGUGCUGAAGCAACAAAUGCCCUGCUUCCAGGAAAAGCCUCUAAGCAUCAGGUAACAUCAAAUCGUACCCCAAACCGACACAGGUGGUCAGGUAGAGAAUACCAAGGCGCUUGAGAGAACUCGGGUGAAGGAACUAGGCAAAAUGGUGCCGUAACUUCGGGAGAAGGCACGCUGACACGUAGGUGAAGUGAUUUACUCAUGGAGCUGAAGUCAGUCGAAGAUACCAGCUGGCUGCAACUGUUUAUUAAAAACACAGCACUGUGCAAACACGAAAGUGGACGUAUACGGUGUGACGCCUGCCCGGUGCCGGAAGGUUAAUUGAUGGGGUCAGCGCAAGCGAAGCUCCUGAUCGAAGCCCCGGUAAACGGCGGCCGUAACUAUAACGGUCCUAAGGUAGCGAAAUUCCUUGUCGGGUAAGUUCCGACCUGCACGAAUGGCGUAAUGAUGGCCAGGCUGUCUCCACCCGAGACUCAGUGAAAUUGAACUCGCUGUGAAGAUGCAGUGUACCCGCGGCAAGACGGAAAGACCCCGUGAACCUUUACUAUAGCUUGACACUGAACAUUGAGCCUUGAUGUGUAGGAUAGGUGGGAGGCUUUGAAGCGUGGACGCCAGUCUGCGUGGAGCCGACCUUGAAAUACCACCCUUUAAUGUUU
rnacentral:rRNA from 1 species